rnacentral:lncRNA from 1 species
GUGGUGGUCAUCUCCUGUGUGCUGGGAGGAGUUCUUCUCAUCCUUGUGCUGGCUUUGCUCAUAUACUGCUGCUGGAGAGGAUGCUCAAUGAGCAAGCCAGACUACAACAGCAGUCCAUACUCAUCAGGUGACGUAAACCAGCCCUGGCCCACUGGCGUCACCUCCAUCCCCCGGGCCACCACUAACUGGGAUGCAGCUCCUCCCAUAGAAAUGACAGAUGGGGGCAGCACUCGUGUCCUGGUGGACAAAAAGCAUGAAACCAACGGAUUGUCGGGAUCAUACGAUGUCAACCCAGAGGGGAUGAACACCUUCAAAGGUAAAAAUCCAUCCCGUUACUCCUAUCUGGUUCAAGGACACGAGAACCCCUACUUCUUAGCAGGAGAAGGCAAGAAAAACUGAUGGGAUCAACCAGAAGCCACUGGUUUUAAACUCUGGGUCUACAGGCUCAUCUCCUGAGCAGGACCCGGUUAUUUAUACUUUCUUGAAUUUGCUUUGAUUAAGGACAUUUUCUAACUGGGAAACAGCCACCAAAGGUUUUCAUUCAUACGAGCAAGAACAUUUGAACAACUUCUUUUUGCGUGUUCUUCGGGAGAGCUAAAUGUUGCUGAUCAUGACCAGUAGAUGUCGCUGUUGCUCAGUGUCAUUCUCCUACUGUUUUAGAAGGUACGUUACAUUUUUCUUAUGCUUUUUAUUAAGAAAUCCUCCUGUAGUCUUUUUAAAUGAAGCUUCUUAUAUUUCUUAUUGCACUAAAGUGUCUGUUAAGUUUACUCUGAAAUCUAAGGUGAAUGUGGGCUUUUAGAUAUUUUUAUGAGGGGUAUGAUGGUUUUUUUAGAAAAGUAAAUUUUGUACGACUAAAGGGGCUGGAUCCCUUGUUCGGGGUGUUUUUAAAGGGAUUUAACUUUAGCUGUCUAAAGCUGAAUAUUCUCUGUAUUUGUUGAAGCUGCACUUGCUAAAUGUGCCUGUUUUUAAUCGUCUGUUUGACAAACAGGAACCUGUCUCCUAGAUGUGCCAAUUAUCAGUUGUAUACAUUUAUAUAUAUUUAUCCUUGUGUGUCUGAGACAGUGCACUCUUUUAUAAGUGUGUAACGGUUUUGUAAAUAAUUGAAGAUCUUUUGUCACAGAAUGUGUAUGUGCGGCGUGUGUGCAAUGGAAAUAAAUUAAUUUAAACACAACAGUUUUAUUUCUCAUCAUUGGUGG